rnacentral:lncRNA from 1 species
CUAUCGAGGGAACAUUUAAAAUACAACUUCAACUACUUUCAGACAUCAAGCUUAUUUACAUGAGUUGUGUUAGAAUGAGGUUGGAACACGUGGACCAGUUAUGGUCAACUCUACCAUAACAAGUAAAUAGGGUAAUACUUGUUGGAACUAAAAUAAAAGUGAUUUUGUCCACUCUCCACUUCCAUUCGUUAUCCACAUAAACAAACUUUUCCCUCAUGCGACACGAUAAAUCUCAAAUGAUUACUAAUACUUGAAAGUUGAGAUUGCAACGGUAAGAACUCUACACAAUCAAUAUGUCGACAUUUAAUAGCAUGAAAGUAACACUUUUGAAUAUUUAAAUCUAUUCAAUAACAAAAUGUGAAAUGCAUGUCCCGACAGUUUCUAAAUAUCAAAUUCGACAUUUGAGAUGUCUAAUAUGACGGUUUCAAAAUGCUGAAUUCGAUAGUUGUACUGUUGGAACUAUCAGGAAGCUUGAUAAAAUGUAUUUGGUACCUUGAAAGAAAUUAUUCAAAACAUUAAUAGUGAUAAUAAAUUCUCAACUACAAUAGCACAAUAUCUUCCCAAAAGUAAAUAAGGAACAACUUAAUACUUCAUUAAUAAUGGAAUCCUUCACAUUUUCUAAAGGAUGUUGAUAUCUUUUCCCUUCAAAAAUAUAUCAAGAGUCAAACAAAUCAAUUAAGAGUUUCAAAAAUUUCAAAUAAAUAUGACCAUGUUCUAUUUCACAUUUAAAAUAGUAAGCUAUAAGAUGAAAAUAGAAAUAAUUUAUAAUAGCUAACCUCUGAAAAAUGGAUAAUGAAUCCAAUAAUAAUAUUUUCUUGAUGAUGGAAUGAAGAAAAUGAAUAAGAAGUGAGGAUUUGUAAAUGGUAAGAAAUUACGUGUUUUUUUUUAAACUUUUUAAAUUCUUUUUUCUUUUACCAAAAUUCAUAUUACCCAAUAUAAUAAUCAUAUCUCUAAAAUUUAUAAUAUACAAAACAAAUUAUCACAUCACAACAUUAACGACAUUCAAAUCAAGCAUUAAAUGCUCCUAAAAACGUAUCACUAAGGAUAAUAUGGACCUUUCACGCCAAAAAAGUGACAUUUUUUACCAUCUUUAGUGAAUAUGAAUUUUUUUUAUUUUUUUGUGCAUUUUCAAAUUUAGUGACAUUUAUGAAAAUAUCCCUAGUUUAAAUCAUGAAUCCAACAAAUUGUGGGUCAACGACAUGGAUGUAAAUAUUAUAUAAAUAUUCGCUGCAGUUUAUUCUUUGCAUUCAAGUAGCUUUCCUUUUCACAUAUCAUUAAUUUCCACACAUCUUUUCUUGAUGUUUUUAUUGAAUUAGUUUUCUAUUAUGUUGUCUUCAACUAUCAAGUCCAAGAAUUUUCUCUCCUUUGUAUCUUCCAGAACUGAAUCCCUUAGAAGGCAUUAAUAUCAACCACAAAAGGGCUAAACAUUAAGCCCAAUAAGAUAUAGUAUAUUUUUUAACAUUCGUCUUGGAACGAAUAUCUCAAAGUAUGAUGGAGAUUCAUGUGAUAGUCUACUUUCUCAUCACACAUUCAAAUCCGAAAACUGUUGACAACAAUUUGCAUUCUAGUCUUCCGAGUUUCACCUAAUUUAAGCGAACAUAAUUGUUGAUCAAAUAUACAUAUCAAACAGAAAAAUGAGGCUUCCUUUUUCUCUUUCUAUUUGUUUUCAUUAACUUGCGUGCACAUUUGUCACAUCAUCUUUUUCUUUCAUAUGUAUAAAGAGGCUUCAUUUUUAUGUUUAUGACAGUCAAAGUAACAAUUUAAGUUACUUAUAAGCUGAAAUUUGAGAACACAAGCCAACGCCCAUAAGAAUUCAUCCUAAUGAUGACACAGCUUCACACAGCAAGGAAGAGUUGCUUUUUAGUGAAAUAAUUUCCAACAUAUGUAGAUCAUUAAAAUGAAUGAAAGGAAACGUACACGUCAAAAAAGGAUGAAGCAAUUUCUCUAAGAAAAUGCAAUUUCUUGCAUAUGGUGAAUAUGUGUAUAUAUAGACUUUCUGUUUUACCAAGAAAAUAAAGAAAAGCCUAUACACAAAAAACAAUUUCUAAAACUGGAGCACAAAAUUUAUCAUGAAAAAGAAAAUAAACAAAGACCUUGAAUACCUCGUACCGUUUAUUAAUUCUCUCACAUAUGGUCCACUUCUACAUCAUUAUGAAGUAAUUGGCCAAGAUGCAAUGAUUUAGAAGUAUAUUGUAAAACCCCAAAAUUUUACAAAUAUGAUAAGUAGCAUAUAUGGCAACUUAAGAAGCUUUUGAGUCUAUUAACAUGAUUUUAGAGAGUUUGGGAGCCUAAGUGCAAAUUAAUAUGUUGGUUGAGAAUAUAUUAUUAGACUAUGAAAUAAUAAUACUAAUAAAUUAUUACUGGAGAAAAAUCGAGUUUUGAGUAAUUUAGCAAAUUCAAGAAAUUUUAAGGACUAAAGUGAAAAUUAUGGAAAUUUUUUAAAAAUUAUGAUUUUAAGACUUUAGAUUGUUGCUUUGAUAUCUCAUUAUGUGCAUUCAAACAUCAACAUCAAAGGUUUACCCCCAAAUUGAAGCAAAAUACACGGAUACACAAGCACAAAACACAAUUUGCAUUCUAGUUUUCCUUUUUCUUUCUUUCAAUUUAUUUCCAUUGACUUGCCAACAUAUUUGUCACAUCAUCUUUUUCUAUGCUCUUAUAAAAGAAGAAGGGGGAAAAGGGUAAUGAAACCCAGACAAGUAAGCAUGGAAGGAUUAAGAAUAGCCUUUAUUUUCCUUCUUCAUAUUCUCCCUUUCAGUUCACUUCCAUUUGCACUGAACACUGUAUCAUCUAAGAGAACAGAAGCAGAGGCUCUUGUAAGGGGGAAGAACGACUUAUCAUCCUAUGAUUCUCUCGAUUCAUGGGACCUCAAUAAUGACACUAUGGAACUUAUCAAACAAGACAGAAACUGUGCCACCCGUGAAAGAUAUUUUACUACGAUAUUAUCCACAAGAACAAGAUCUCUCAGCAAAUUGUCAAACAUAGCAAUAAUACAAGACUGCAUUAGUAUAUAUUUCUCUAUUGCUGCAAGAAGCAUUAAAUAUUAAACAUCAGACACAUACAACUUAGGAACCUAAUAUGGGUUUAACCUAUAUUAUAUGCCACUUUCAAUUUAAAACCAAUAUGCCGUGCGAAUUCAUACCUCAAGCUGCUCAUGAAGCCGCUUUUGAACUUCCAUUUGCAUUAUCAAUGCUUCAGUGAUCUCAAUGCCC